rnacentral:rRNA from 1 species
UGGGGAAUCUUGCGCAAUGGGAGCAAUCCUGACGCAGCGACGCCGCGUGCGGGAGGACGGUCUUCGGACUGUAAACCGUUGUCGGCGGGGACGAACACCUGGGAGAGGCAAUGCUUUUGGGCUGACGGUACCCGCAGAGGAAGCGCCGGCUAACUCCGUGCCAGCAGCCGCGGUAACACGGAGGGCGCGAGCGUUGUUCGGAAUCAUUGGGCGUAAAGGGCGCGCAGGCGGCUUGGGUAAGCCAGAUGUGAAAGCCCGGGGCUCAACCCCGGGAGGCCAUUUGGGACUGCUGGGCUGGAGAGAUGCAGGGGCGGGCGGAAUUCCGGGUGUAGCGGUGGAAUGCGUAGAGAUCCGGAAGAACACCAGAGGCGAAGGCGGCCCGCUGGGCAUUUUCUGACGCUGAGGCGCGAAGGCGUGGGGAGCGAACAGGAUUAGAUACCCCUGUAGUCC